rnacentral:rRNA from 1 species
GACGAACGCUGGCGGCGUGCUUUACACAUGCAAGUCGAACGGAAAGGCCUUGCUUUUGUGGGUUGCUCGAGUGGCGAACGUGUGAGUAACACGUGACUAACCUGCCCUUGACUUUGGGAUAACUUCAGGAAACUGGGGCUAAUACCGGAUAGGAACUCCUGCGGCAUGGUGGGGGUUGGAAAGUUUCGGCGGUUGGGGAUGGACUCGCGGCUUAUCAGCUUGUUGGUGGAGUAGUGGCUUACCCAGUCUUUGACGGGUACCCGGCCUGAGAGGGUGACCGGCCACAUUGGGACUGAGAGACGGACCAGACUGCUACGGGAGGCAGCAGUGGGGAAUAUUGCACAAUGGGCCGAAGUCUGAUGCAGCAACGUCGGGUGUGGGAUGACGGCUUUCGGGUUGUAAACCGCUUUCGCCUGUGACGAAGCGUGAGUGACGGUACUGGGUAAAGAAGCACCGGCUAACUACGUG